rnacentral:rRNA from 1 species
CAGUAGCCACGGUAAUACAGAGGAUGCAAGCGUUAUCCGGAAUGAUUGGGCGUAAAGCGUCUGUAGGUGGCUUUUCAAGUUCGCCGUCAAAUCCCAGGGCUCAACCCUGGACAGGCGGUGGAAACUACCAAGCUGGAGUACGGUAGUGGCAGAGGGAAUUUCCAGUGGAGCGGCGAAAUGCGUUGAGAUCGAAAAGAACACCAACAGCGAAAGCACUCUGCUGGGACGACACUGACACUAAGAGACGAAAGCUAGGGGAGCAAAUGGGAUUAGAUACCCCAGUAGUCCCUGUCUCUUAUAC